rnacentral:misc_RNA from 1 species
CAUAUCCGCUUCGACAUCGUUCAUAUAUACAUGCAUUGGCCUCUGCGAGGAACCGAAAGAGGAACUACUAGACAACGCUCCAGAAUGCAGGGGGAAGUUGACGCCACUACCUUUUCUCUCCGGCCGGACCACCAUCACAAGUUCCGCCCUAAUGAACUGAAGCCGAUUGCGAAGUCGGUGCUCGAGAGUCGCCUGGAGGACCAGGAGUACAACGCCGAUGAGAUCCAGAGCAUUAGCAAGGAGAUAGCUGACACUGUGCGGGACAAGAUUCGCUCGAAAGACCUCGAGCGAUACAAGAUCAUUGUGCACUGCAUGAUUGGCGAGCAGCGUGGCGAGGGUAUGCGGACGGGGUGCAAGAUGUUCUGGGACUCCGAUACGGACAAUUACUUUGAGGAGGUGUACGUGAGCAAACACCUGUUUGCGACGGUGACGGUGUUCGGUGUUUACCAAUACUGAUGUGGGGCAUGCAUGUCUUGGUGCUUGACCGCGUGCAUGCGUGCGGCGCGGUAAGAAAACAUUGAGCAGCACCCGCCUACAAAGGCGGGGGAACGACGCAAAAAAAAAGCUUUUGCGACGGCGCUCUUGCUAGGCAGACAGACCACUCUCCUUAAACUUUCUGCCGUCAUGUACAUAGCGGCGCACUACUUACGAGGGUGUCGAGGCGCGUGAAUUGCAAGAGCCGCCACGACCUCGAACUGAGACUAGGCGUUCACCGCCAUAAAAGGCACCGGCGUUCUUCAGAAAUAGCCAAGAUAAAAUGGGAAAAAAAACGCACAAGAAGUCAAAAGGAACAGCGCUUCCUCGCCCCAACGCCCGCCCGCACAUUUGUGCAGCACGCGAAAGUCUACCGUUCGCGUACACCCUUUCCUUCAGCUGUGUUACUUGCGCAUGUGCGUGGGCAAUUUAGGCAAGGGGGCGCACGGCUGACACGUUCGCUGAAACAGCGGCGCCUAACGAGGGGCUUCACGAUCGAUGGUGGCCUUUCUGACACUGCCAGUAGGCCGCAUCUGCUGUCUGUCAUGCUCCACGUUGACGUAGUGUGGACGUUUCGCACCUCAUGUGUACCACGCACUCGCGCGCUCAUCUCUGCUUUUCUCUUCUUCAACCUCCUUCCUUUUCUCGUCUUCUACACGUGCGCGACGUACUGCCUGUCACCUGAACCGGUGUCGUCUCGAUGUUACUGCCGUUGCUCCUUAUUCGCCCCCCCCCCUCCCCCCACAUGGUCUGGUGGCAACGCGGAAG